rnacentral:hammerhead_ribozyme from 1 species
AUGCGAAACAGCCCUGCGGGGCUGUCGGCGGAGCGCGGUGGCUCCGUCCUGAUGAGCAGCCAGCU